UGGGGAAUUUUGGACAAUGGACGCAAGUCUGAUCCAGCCAUGCCGCGUGCGGGAAGAAGGCCUUCGGGUUGUAAACCGCUUUUGUCAGGGAAGAAACGAGUUUCUCUAAUACAGAGACUUAAUGACGGUACCUGAAGAAUAAGCACCGGCUAACUACGUGCCAGCAGCCGCGGUAAUACGUAGGGUGCAAGCGUUAAUCGGAAUUACUGGGCGUAAAGCGUGCGCAGGCGGUUAUGUAAGACAGAUGUGAAAUCCCCGGGCUCAACCUGGGACCUGCAUCUGUGACUGAAUAGCUAGAGUACGGCAGAGGGGGAUGGAAUUCCGCGUGUAGCAGUGAAAUGCGUAGAUAUGCGGAGGAACACCGAUGGCGAAGGCAAUCCCCUGGGCCUGUACUGACGCUCAUGCACGAAAGCGUGGGGAGCAAACA
rnacentral:rRNA from 1 species